GGCGGACGGGCCGCCGCAGCUGCCCUCGCGGCCCAGGCUGCCCCUGCCGGGCGGCUCGCGCUUGGCCGGGGGGCUGUUCUUUGGGGGGGCCGUACUCUACGGGCAAAGCGGUGUUGAUCACAUCUGGAUCCUACAGAUGAGAGCAACGAACGGAUCAAAAGUUCGAAUCCAGUGGGAUCUGGAAGAUACCUUAGCGGUGACGUCAUCCAGAUUUCUUUUACAGAGGAGACCCUUCCAUGUUUGCCGGGAAUCUAUCAACCUAGCAGCACGGGGGAAUACGAAACAGAUGGGGGCGCCUCCUCUUUGAAGAGCUUGGAGGACGAGCGCUGUAUCAGAAGUGCGGACAGGGUGCUGGGAGAGGGUGCGGGGGGUGGGCAGGGGAGUGGGGUCAGGAAAGGCGGGCCUUGAAGCAGAGACCCCCUUUGGGCAAAUCUUACAGAUAAAUGGAUUUAAAAUAUUAUAAAUUACUUUAAAAAUGAUUCCUGUCUAUUCCCAAUAAAAGCCUUUCAACUAAAAAAAAAAA